AUAGCAGAAUGAGAGGUCUUGCUUGGCCUUGUUGUUGUUUGUAUACCUGCAGGAAGCCGACUGUUAUCUGCUGCAUCCAUGCACAGACGACACAUGAGACUGGAGUUUGAAUGUUUAGUGGACGUUGUAGAUUACAAUCCAAAGACAAAAGAUUCAAACUAUGAGGUCUUUCUUUGCAGUACUGUAUGUACCGCCUUCCUAACCUUUUUCGAAAGAAAAAGUUAGCAACAGAAAUCUAACACAAUGUGCACAAAAAUAUAAGUGCCUCAAAAUACAGUUCCCGAUCUAGUUUAAAAUACUUUCUCUUUUAAACAAAUAUAAAGUGCAGCACACA